rfam:Neurospora tetrasperma FGSC 2509 unplaced genomic scaffold NETTE2scaffold_5, whole genome shotgun sequence.
GCCCGGCUAGCUCAAUCGGUAGAGCGUGAGACUCUUAAGGAGGUACUCCGUAAUCUCAAGGUUGUGGGUUCGACCCCCACGUCGGGCU